UCUGUCUGUAUUGGCUCAUUGACCCUGGACCGUUAUGACACUGAUUUUGGAUUUGCCCUUAAUAAGCCGUUUACCUCCGCACAGGCGUCCGCUACCUCGCUCCCCGUUACACGUUGUUUUGACAUGGCUUCUGGUCAUUGUCCAUCAGCACUGUGAAGCACCGUCCAAGGAGUCUAUAGAAGAUAAUAACUUCAGAAUUCAUCCCGCUGCUUUGCUCCUUUUGACAGCAGUCAAAUCAUCAAGGAGUCCAUUCCACUGGUAGCCAUUCAUGCCUGUGUCAUAAGAUUACCUCCACCCUGAUUGACAGAUGUAAUGAGCAAAGUUCGCAGUGGUCUUGGGCUGGUUUCGCCUGUGCAGACAAGAAGGCCUUGGGGUGGUGAGCAUCAAACAUACCCCAAGAAGUGUCUCGGGCGAAAGAAUGUGACAGACCCACCCUGUCCACGGUCUGGUCCAACCAGAAGGAGGGUGUUACUCCAUACACCUAUAGGGAUGCUGUGAAGAGAAACAGUGAGAAUCCUGGACAAUGGUUCCCAAUCCUGGGAACCCCACACUCUGUUUUCUCUCUCUUAACACACCAGAGGGGCUUGUAUUUUUUUUUAUUUAAUAUACUUCCAGUGCAUAUUGUCACGAGUGGCCCCUCCCA